rnacentral:rRNA from 1 species
AUUCCAGCUCCAAUAGCGUAUAUUAAAGUUGUUGCAGUUAAAAAGCUCGUAGUUGGAUUUCUGGGAGGGUGCCAAUGUCCGUCGUCGUACGUGUUGCAGCGGCGCCCUUCCAUCCUUCUGUUAACGACUUUGGGCAUUCACUUGCCGGAGUCGGGCUCAGAUAUUUUACCUUGAGAAAAUUAGAGUGUUUCAGGCAGGCUAGGCCGGAAUACAUUAGCAUGGAAUAAUGGAAUAGGACUACGGUCUCUUUGUUGGUUUGAGGGACUGCAGUAAUGAUUAAUAGGGAUAGUUGGGGGUAUUCGUAUUUAAUUGUCAGAGGUGAAAUUCUUGGAUUUAUGAAAGACGAACUUCUGCGAAAGCAUUUGCCAAGGAUGUUUUCAUUA